rnacentral:rRNA from 1 species
CCUAACACAUGCAAGUCGAACGCGAAAGCCCCGCAAGGGGCAAGUAGAGUGGCAAACGUUUGAGUAACACGUGGGUGACCUGCCUUCGAGCGGGGGAUAACGUCCCGAAGGGGACGCUAAUACCGCAUGACAUCCUGCCUUUGAAGAGGCGGAGAUCAAAGCCGGGGAUCGCAAGACCUGGCACUCGGAGAGGGGCCCGCGCCUGAUUAGCUAGUUGGUGGGGUAAUGGCCUACCAAGGCAACGAUCAGUAUCCGGCCUGAGAGGGCGGACGGACACACUGGGACUGAGACACGGCCCAGACUCCUACGGGAGGCAGCAGUGGGGAGUUGUUCGCAAUGGGCGCAAGCCUGACGACGCAACGCCGCGUGGAGGAUGAAGAUUUUCGGAUCGUGAACUCCUGUCGAAUGGGACGAACAGAUCUCGGGUGAACAAUCCGAGGUCCUGACGGUACCGUUAAAGGAAACCCCGGCUAACUCCGUGCCAGCAGCCGCGGUAAUACGGGGGGGGUAAGCGUUGUUCGGAAUUACUGGGCGUAAAGGGCUCGUAGGCGGCCAACUAAGUCAGACGUGAAAUCCCUCACUUAACUGGGGAACUGCGUCUGAUACUGGAUGGCUUGGAUUCGGGAGAGGAAUGCGGAAUUCCAGGUGUACGGUGAAAUGCGUAAAUAUCUGGA